rnacentral:pre_miRNA from 15 species
UUUAAAAGCACCACUCGGAACCACUGAAUUUAUGUGUGUACUUGACGGCCAACAAGAGCAUCGAUCUAGCACCAUAUAAAUUCAGUAAUUUCGCGUCGAGAGCUAUUCUG